rnacentral:rRNA from 1 species
GUGGGGAAUCUUGCGCAAUGGGCGAAAGCCUGACGCAGCGACGCCGCGUGGGUGAUGAAGGCCUUCGGGUUGUAAAGCCCUGUGGAGGGGGACGAAUAAGUCAUGGCUAAUAUCCAUGGUGAUGACGGUACCCCUUUAGCAAGCACCGGCUAACUCUGUGCCAGCAGCCGCGGUAAGACAGAGGGUGCAAACGUUGUUCGGAAUUACUGGGCGUAAAGCGCGUGUAGGCAGCUUGGCAAGUCGGGUGUGAAAGCCCUGGGCUCAACCUAGGAAGUGCACUCGAAACUGCUUCGCUUGAGUAUCGGAGAGGAAAGCGGAAUUCUCGGUGUAGAGGUGAAAUUCGUAGAUAUCGAGAGGAACACCAGUGGCGAAGGCGGCUUUCUGGACGAUCACUGACGCUGAGACGCGAAAGCGUGGGGAGCAAACAGGAUUAGAAACCCGAGUAGUCC